CAAAUUUCAUAUGGUAAAAUACAACUAAAGUAUGUUGAUACAGUUCUUAUACGUGUGUAAUUGACACAAAAUUACAAAAAACGGUCCAGAAAGCACUUUAAGGGUAACUGUAUGAAUAUACUUUUGUCCAAUUUUAUCAUCAUAUUUUUUUUUUUUUUUUUUUACAUGGGCAUAAGUAAUAUGUUUUGUCCAUUUUCAAUAUGAUUUCAUAGGAAGUCAAAAGUCAAAAGUCAAAAAUGUCAAAAUUUUGUAAAAAACUUCACACACCCUUAAAAAAGUGCUUUCUGGACCUUUUUACAAAAUUUUGACAUUUUUGACUUUUGACUUUUGACUUCCUAUGAAAUCAUAUUGAAAAUGGACAAAACAUAUUACUUAUGCCCAUGUAAAAAAAAAAAAAAAUGAUGAUAAAAUUGGACAAAAGUAUAUUCAUACAGUUCUUACACAUGUGUAAUUGACAAAAAAAUCGAAAGAAUUUCGAAAACGGUCCAGAAAGCACUUUUUAAGGGGUGAUAAGUUUUUGACAAAAAAUCAUUUUUUCAAAAUUUUGCUUUUGGAUGUUGACUUGGGUGCCAUUUCCCAAUAUGAAAAACCAUGGUGGAGCGAAUUCGCCACCUGUUGAAUUUUUAAAGUGUUACAAUAGGCAAUCGCCAUAUGGCAGUUGCAA
ensembl:lncRNA